GGGAGAGGCCGGGCGAGCAGGCACAGCGGUGACUUUGAGGCGGGCACAGCCCACCUGCAAGUCCCUGGAGGCCGCCUCCACUCCCCUUGCUUGCUGCUCUGUGCCUCACCCUGGCCUCAGCUGCCUGGAGGGGCCCCGGCCAGGAGUGGGGGCCUGGGGGCUGCUCCCUUAAGUCACCCAGUGUCCUGGCCUGACCUUCAUUCUCCCCUCCCCCUUGUGAGGCGGAUCUCAGCCUUCUGUCCUCUGACAAGUGUGCAGCCAGCCCCACCGUGUGCCGGGUGCUGGGACACGGAUGGGCACAGCCCUGCUGGCACAUGGUGCAUCAGCUGGCCGGGAGAUCGUCAAGAAAGACAGCACGAGAAUCAACUUGCACAAGAAUCCCUCAUGGCAGCCUGUGGGGAGACGACCUCCUCUGCUUUGUACAUUCCUGGAUCCCAAAGGCCAGCAUGGCAUGGCACCUAAGAGCUCCUCUUAGGACUACUCAUUCAUUCAACAGACAUUGAUGAGGCCAUGGAUGUCACAGAGGGUGAGCAGUGGGGAAGGGGCUUUGCAGAGGGGAGUGUGGCUGAGACGAGGGCAGAGGAGGUGGCUAGGCCCACGGGGCCCUCCCUGAUCCUUCUCCCACAGUCAUGGGGUGUCAUGGCGGGUGCUGAAGCUGGGAGCAGCAGGGUUGGUCUUGCCGUUUAGAAAGACCCUCUUUAGAGCUGGGGAAGGGAGCAGAUUGAAGGGGUGGGCCUGGAGGCAGGGGCUGCGGGGAUGAUGGUGGCUGAGAAUGGGUUGAGGGAGGGCUGGGAGAGGCGGCAUGACCCAGCCCAUGGGACCAAAGAGAAGACCAUGGAGAUAGGACUGGAUCAAGGAUGGGAUUGGCUCAGAACUGUGCCUCAAUCCAGUCAAUGGAAGAGCACAUCGUCUGUGAAGACACAGUGGCGGCUGGAGCCCUCCCACCCUCCUGCCCAUGCUGCCUUCCACCACCCUCUGCAGGAAGCUGGGAGGGGCUCAUUCAUGUCUAGCCCACCCAGAGGCCCAGGUCUUAACCUCUGAGGUUACCGCCUCCCUCUGGCCCCCAGUGACUGCUCUGCGCACUUCCCCAGACUCUGCCUGUGAACACUACACUUGGCCUACAAUUUCCUAGAAUUUCCAUGGGAGAAUCCUCUCGGGGCCCCCAGCAAGGUGCCCUUGACCUAUGUUCCCCUCCCCCAAAACAGAUUUGAAACCAUGGCCCUAGAAGGAAAGGAACUGGAAUAAGGUGGCACAGCUGAAUUGUCACUUUGCUUUUUGGAAUACGAAGUGUUGCGCCAAGUCCAAAA